CUACGGGUUGCUCCAGUGAGGAAUUUUGCGCAAUGGGGGGAACCCUGACGCAGCAACGCCGCGUGAGUGAUGAAGGCUUUCGGGUCGUAAAGCUCUGUCAAGUGGGAAGAACCUAUGCAGUGUUAAUAUCACUGUAUACUGACGGUACCACUGAAGGAAGCACCGGCUAACCCCAUGCCAGCAGCCGCGGUAAUACGGGGGGUGCAAGCGUUAUUCGGAAUCAUUGGGCGUAAAGGGCACGUAGGCGGCUUGGUAAGUCAGAUGUGAAAGCCCGGGGCUUAACCCCGGAAGUGCAUUUGAUACUGUCAGGCUUGAGUAUGGGAGAGGGAAGUGGAAUUCCUGGUGUAGAGGUGAAAUUCGUAGAUAUCAGGAGGAACACCGGUGGCGAAGGCGACUUCCUGGACCAAUACUGACGCUGAGGUGUGAAGGCGUGGGUAGCAAACAGGAUUAGAUACCCGGGUAGUC
rnacentral:rRNA from 1 species